AAGGCGUGCGAUACAGGGUGACAGCCCCGUACACAAAAAUGCACAUAUUGUGAGCUCGAUGAGUAGGGCGGGACACGUGGUAUCCUGUCUGAAUAUGGGGGGACCAUCCUCCAAGGCUAAAUACUCCUGACUGACCGAUAGUGAACCAGUACCGUGAGGGAAAGGCGAAAAGAACCCCGGCGAGGGGAGUGAAAAAGAACCUGAAACCGUGUACGUACAAGCAGUGGGAGCACGCUUAGGCGUGUGACUGCGUACCUUUUGUAUAAUGGGUCAGCGACUUAUAUUCUGUAGCAAGGUUAACCGAAUAGGGGAGCCGAAGGGAAACCGAGUCUUAACUGGGCGUUAAGUUGCAGGGUAUAGACCCGAAACCCGGUGAUCUAGCCAUGGGCAGGUUGAAGGUUGGGUAACACUAACUGGAGGACCGAACCGACUAAUGUUGAAAAAUUAGCGGAUGACUUGUGGCUGGGGGUGAAAGGCCAAUCAAACCGGGAGAUAGCUGGUUCUCCCCGAAAGCUAUUUAGGUAGCGCCUCGUGAAUUCAUCUCCGGGGGUAGAGCACUGUUUCGGCAAGGGGGUCAUCCCGACUUACCAACCCGAUGCAAACUGCGAAUACCGGAGAAUGUUAUCACGGGAGACACACGGCGGGUGCUAACGUCCGUCGUGAAGAGGGAAACAACCCAGACCGCCAGCUAAGGUCCCAAAGUCAUGGUUAAGUGGGAAACGAUGUGGGAAGGCCCAGACAGCCAGGAUGUUGGCUUAGAAGCAGCCAUCAUUUAAAGAAAGCGUAAUAGCUCACUGGUCGAGUCGGCCUGCGCGGAAGAUGUAACGGGGCUAAACCAUGCAC
rnacentral:rRNA from 1 species